AUGAACGCUGGCGGCGUGCUUAACACAUGCAAGUCGAACGAAGCACUUUAACCUGAUUCUUCGGAUGAUGGUUUUUGUGACUGAGUGGCGGACGGGUGAGUAACGCGUGGGUAACCUGCCUCAUACAGGGGGAUAACAGUUAGAAAUGACUGCUAAUACCGCAUAAGACCACAGAGCCGCAUGGCUCGGUGGGAAAAACUCCGGUGGUAUGAGAUGGACCCGCGUCUGAUUAGGUAGUUGGUGGGGUAACGGCCUACCAAGCCAACGAUCAGUAGCCGACCUGAGAGGGUGACCGGCCACAUUGGGACUGAGACACGGCCCAAACUCCUACGGGAGGCAGCAGUGGGGAAUAUUGCACAAUGGGGGAAACCCUGAUGCAGCGACGCCGCGUGAGCGAAGAAGUAUUUCGGUAUGUAAAGCUCUAUCAGCAGGGAAGAAAAUGACGGUACCUGACUAAGAAGCACCGGCUAAAUACGUG
rnacentral:rRNA from 1 species